GUAUGGAGAAGGUCGACGUUCUUCGCGCUCUCGGGGCAGAGAUUGUCCGGACUCCCACCAACGCCCGCUUUGAUUCGCCCGAAUCCCAUGUGGGAGUGGCCUGGAGACUGAAGAACGAGAUCCCCAAUUCUCACAUCUUGGAUCAGUACCGGAACGCCAGCAAUCCUCUCGCUCACUACGACG